ACAAGAUAAAAGGGGCCGAAUGCAUAGGUUUACUUGUGGUAUGUUGCUGAUUCUAUUCACGAACUAGGCACCUUCAUGAAUAUAUAUGGUCUUUUGUUUUGCAUGAGGCACAUGUUGUUUUGCAUGAGGCACAUGUUCUUGUUUUGCUUGUAUUUUCACUUGUUAAAUUUUUGCAGCCUAACCAAAAUCUCUCUUGGCCAAGUUACUUCGUGAAUGGCACUAGCUUCAAGAAUAAAUUUUUGGGUCCAAGUUCUGAUCUUAUGCAUUGUAUCUAGUGUGAUAUAGAUUUGGUUAUUGGUGCUACAACCAUAGCACCUUUUCAGUAGGCAGGCAAUUGCAUUUACCACAAUCGCUGAGCUUGUUAGUGGAGGGAUCUAAUUCUUCUGUAACACCUUGCAUUUGCU
rnacentral:lncRNA from 1 species